rnacentral:rRNA from 1 species
AUCCUGGCUCAGGAUGAACGCUAGCGACAGGCUUAACACAUGCAAGUCGAGGGGCAGCGAGGGCGUAGCAAUACGCCUGUCGGCGACCGGCGCACUGGUGAGUAACACGUAUGCGACCUGCCCCCUACAGGGGUAUAACCCGUAGAAAUGCGGACUAAUCCCCCAUAGUCCUGGGUGCUGCAUGGCAUUCAGGGGAAAGGUCAGCCGGUAGGGGAUGGGGAUGCGUCCGAUUAGCUUGACGGCGGGUAACGGCCCACCGUGGCGACGAUCGGUAGGGGGUUCUGAGAGGAAGGUCCCCCACAUUGGAACUGAGACACGGUCCAAACUCCUACGGGAGGCAGCAGUGAGGAAUAUUGGUCAAUGGGCGAGAGCCUGAACCAGCCAAGUAGCGUGCAGGAUGACGGCCCUAUGGGUUGUAAACUGCUUUUAUGCGGGGAUAAAGUGUACCAUGUAUGGUGUUUUGCAGGUACCGCAUGAAUAAGGACCGGCUAAUUCCGUG